rnacentral:rRNA from 1 species
GCAGCCGCCACGGUAAUACAGAGGGUGCGAGCGUUAAUCGGAUUUACUGGGCGUAAAGCGUGCGUAGGCGGCUUUUUAAGUCGGAUGUGAAAUCCCUGAGCUUAACUUAGGAAUUGCAUUCGAUACUGGGAAGCUAGAGUAUGGGAGAGGAUGGUAGAAUUCCAGGUGUAGCGGUGAAAUGCGUAGAGAUCUGGAGGAAUACCGAUGGCGAAGGCAGCCAUCUGGCCUAAUACUGACGCUGAGGUACGAAAGCAUGGGGAGCAAACAGGAUUAGAUACCCCAGUAGUCCCUGUCUCUUAUAC